CUGUGGGUAUGAUGUGUUGUGUGCGAUGAUAAUGUCGACAUGGUGGUGGCUCUAGCAAUGUCAGUGAUGUCGAUCGGUUGUCCUGCAGUGGUGGGCAUGGCUCUAGUGGUGGUGGCUCUGGUUGGCGCCGUUUUCUCUGUUGUGGUGAUGAAUUUGUUAGUGUAUUGUGGUGUUGAAUAGUCAUUAUGAGGUGGUGGUGGAUUUGUUGGCAGUAGUACUCCAUUGUUAUGGUGGUGAUAAUGGUGAUAGUGGUUGUAGAUGUGUCAAUCACGACGAUGGUCGUCGGUGGGAAGAAAUGGUAUUCGAUGUUUGUGGCCAAUUAUUUGAUUGAUUGUGACUAACAAUUGAGGAAUUUGUAAUAUGUGACCUAAAAAUUGUGACUGUAACUCACAAUUGAUUAAGUUGUGAUCGAACAAUUAAUCGUGACCAAUUAAUCUAAUAAUUUGCAAUGAAUGAAUGAGUUGUGACCAAUAAAAUUUUGAUUCUGUGACCAAUGAAAAAUUCGUGACCUAUAAAAAUUUUUACUGUGACGACCGUGAUCGAAAAAUAAUGCGACCUAUAAAAUUUUGAUUUGUGACUGAAAAAUAAGCUGUGACCAAUUAAUUGAUAAGUUGUGACUAUUAAAUUGGUUAAUCUGUGACCAAUAAAUAAUAUGUGACAAAUGAAAAAAAUAAAUUAUGAUCGAAAAAUAAUGUCUGACCUAAAAGAUUGUUAAUCUGUGACCGAUAAUUUGAUAAUUUGUAACUGUAUAAUAAGUUGUGACUUGUUUGAUUUUAGAUUUGAAGUAGAUGUGGUGUUGGUUGUGUUAGCGGUGGUGUUAAUGGUUGUGUAGGUUGUGGAUUGGUGGAGGCUCUAUUGAAUCGACCAAGUGGUACAGGCGAGUGCUAUUGCAGUGGUGGUGUUGUGGGUACAGUGUGUUGUGUGCGGUGCGGUGGUUAGGUGGUGGUGCUGUGGGUAUGAUGUGUUGUGUGCGAUGAUAAUGUCGACAUGGUGGUGGCUCUAGCAAUGUCAGUGAUGUCGAUCGGUUGUCCUGCAGUGGUGGGCAUGGCUCUAGUGGUGGUGGCUCUGGUUGGCGCCGUUUUCUCUGUUGUGGUGAUGAAUUUGUUAGUGUAUUGUGGUGUUGACUAGUCAUUAUGAGGUGGUGGUGGAUUUGUUGGCGGCAGUACUCCAUUGUUAUGGUGGUGAUAAUGGUGAUAGUGGUUGUAGAUGUGUCAAUCACGACGAUGGUCGUCGGUGGGAAGAAAUGGUAUUCGAUGUUUGUGGCCAAUUAUUUGAUUGAUUGUGACUAACAAUUGAGGAAUUUGUAAUAUGUGACCUAAAAAUUGUGAC
rnacentral:lncRNA from 1 species